UACGGAGAGUGCAAGCGUUAUCCGGAUUCACUGGGUUUAAAGGGUGCGUAGGUGGGCUGGUAAGUCAGUGGUGAAAUCUCCAGGCUUAACUUGGAAACUGCCAUUGAUACUAUCAGUCUUGAAUACCGUGGAGGUCAGCGGAAUAUGUCAUGUAGCGGUGAAAUGCUUAGAUAUGACAUAGAACACCAAUUGCGAAGGCAGCUGGCUACAGAAUAUUGACACUGAUGCACGAAAGCGUGGGGAGUCAAACAGGAAU
rnacentral:rRNA from 1 species